rnacentral:rRNA from 1 species
AUGAACGCUGGCGGCGUGCCUAAUACAUGCAAGUCGAGCGAACGGACGAGAAGCUUGCUUCUCUGAUGUUAGCGGCGGACGGGUGAGUAACACGUGGAUAACCUACCUAUAAGACUGGGAUAACUUCGGGAAACCGGAGCUAAUACCGGAUAAUAUUUUGAACCGCAUGGUUCAAAAGUGAAAGACGGUCUUGCUGUCACUUAUAGAUGGAUCCGCGCUGCAUUAGCUAGUUGGUAAGGUAACGGCUUACCAAGGCAACGAUGCAUAGCCGACCUGAGAGGGUGAUCGGCCCCACUGGAACUGAGACACGGUCCAGACUCCUACGGGAGGCAGCAGUAGGGAAUCUUCCGCAAUGGGCGAAAGCCUGACGGAGCAACGCCGCGUGAGUGAUGAAGGUCUUCGGAUCGUAAAACUCUGUUAUUAGGGAAGAACAUAUGUGUAAGUAACUGUGCACAUCUUGACGGUACCUAAUCAGAAAGCCACGGCUAACUACGUG